rnacentral:rRNA from 1 species
AACGAACGCUGGCGGCAGGCCUAACACAUGCAAGUCGAGCGAGCAUUUCGGUGCUAGCGGCGGACGGGUGAGUAACGCGUGGGAACGUGCCCUUUUCUGCGGAAUAGUCCUGGGAAACUGGGGGUAAUACCGCAUACGCCCUUUUGGGGGAAGAUUUAUCGGAGAAGGAUCGGCCCGCGUUGGAUUAGGUAGUUGGUGGGGUAAUGGCCCACCAAGCCGACGAUCCAUAGCUGGUUUGAGAGGAUGAUCAGCCACACUGGGACUGAGACACGGCCCAGACUCCUACGGGAGGCAGCAGUGGGGAAUCUUAGACAAUGGGGGCAACCCUGAUCUAGCCAUGCCGCGUGAGUGAUGAAGGCCUUAGGGUUGUAAAGCUCUUUCAGCUGGGAAGAUAAUGACGGUACCAGCAGAAGAAGCCCCGGCUAACUCCGUG